CUGAAAUCAGACGAGACUACCCGCUGA
rnacentral:rRNA from 1 species